rnacentral:rRNA from 1 species
UGCAGAAUCCCGUGAACCAUCGAGUCUUUGAACGCAAGUUGCGCCCGAUGCCAUUAGGUUGAGGGCACGUCUGCCUGGGUGUCACAUAUCGAAGCCUCCUGCCAAUUUCCCUUUGAUUAUUGUGCAGGGUGGAUGUUGGCCUCCCGUGAGCUCUUCCGUCUCAUGGUUGGUUGAAAAUUGAGACCUUGGUAGGGUGUGCCAUGAUAGAUGGUGGUUGUGUGACCCACGAGACCAAUCAUGCGCUACUCUAUUGAUUUUGGCCUCUUUUACCCAUAUGCGUUUCUAAACGCUCGUGAUGAGACCUCAGGUCAGGCGGGGCUACCCGCUGAAUUUAAGCAUAUCAAUAAGCGGAGGAAAAGAAACUAACAAGGAUUCCCUUAGUAACGGCGAGCGAACCGGGAUAAGCCCACCAUGAGAAUCGGUCGCCCUCGGCGUUCGA